UGGGGAAUAUUGCACAAUGGGCGCAAGCCUGAUGCAGCCAUGCCGCGUGUGUGAAGAAGGCCUUCGGGUUGUAAAGCACUUUCAGCGGGGAGGAAGGCGUUAGGUUAAUAACCUUGGCGAUUGACGUUACCCGCAGAAGAAGCACCGGCUAACUCCGUGCCAGCAGCCGCGGUAAUACGGAGGGUGCAAGCGUUAAUCGGAAUUACUGGGCGUAAAGCGCACGCAGGCGGUCUGUCAAGUCGGAUGUGAAAUCCCCGGGCUCAACCUGGGAACUGCAUUCGAAACUGGCAGGCUAGAGUCUUGUAGAGGGGGGUAGAAUUCCAGGUGUAGCGGUGAAAUGCGUAGAGAUCUGGAGGAAUACCGGUGGCGAAGGCGGCCCCCUGGACAAAGACUGACGCUCAGGUGCGAAAGCGUGGGGAGCAAACAGG
rnacentral:rRNA from 1 species